CCUGCAUGGCGCUCUCUCUUGAAUGUAUAUCCCCUCUCCUCGAGGCCAACACGUUGAGCUUCAACGUUUGAGACCUGGCAGAUAAGGGAUAUUAAUUUGUUUCAGCCAGAGGUUUCCCUGAAUGAAUGAGUUGACCGUGUACUGAAGAGCCUCGUUCCUGGUCUUGAUGAUCCUGUAACCCUUCCAUGUCACCCUGCUGUGGGUGUUUGCACCAGGGCCAAGGUUCCCAUACUCAGCGUAGAGGAGUGUGUUCGGGACGAACUUCCCAGCCCACGGCGUCCACCCAGCUGGUUGGAUGAAAUCUCCCAAGGUCGUCUCCAUUAUAAUCGUCUUUGAGUACGGCUUCCAUGGACGACCCAAGAAUGAAGGGAUCUUGAACCUGUCAGGGAACAGUUUUUGCUCUGGGACGAUUCUGCAAUCGUGGAUCACCAAUCCAGUGGUUUCACGCUUCUCAGUUUUUCCUUGUGCAGUCACUGUGUUUUGUUGUUUGUCAUUUGGCCUUCUUACUAUGAUCAAGGAGUUCUGGAUCACAGUCGUCGAGUCACCGAAGAUGAAGUCUAUGGUGCCCGAGAUGACACAAUUGCGGUAGAACUGGCGAUGGGCCUGGACGUACAAGGUGUCUUGGUACCCGUCCAUUCUGCAGUUGAAGAAUGCUGACAUAUCUGAUUGGACGCGGAGAGCAACAGCCUGGUGCCCGUCCGGACCUGCGGUGUUGACGAAUCCCAUCGACCUCGCAACAAACCCCUUUCCAAUGGCCGCUGCAACCCAUAUUUAUACACAUUAAAGCAUGGACAGUCAUUAGUCUUAACGCAAAAGAAAAGUAAUUAGGAGACUCACAGAAUGUGGCAGUCUUGUAAGUGGUGAUUCCGUCGCGGUAGCAUUUGGUUCCAGUGACAAUGGUCUUCCUGGGCCCAUCUCCGUACAUGUACACAUUAACAUGAUCUUUGGUGACGGUAAUGUACUCGCGGUAGAUUCCGGCCUUCACGUAGAUAACAUAUCUUCCUUUGAGGUUCUUGGGGUAGGCGGCGAGAGCUGCAGCAAUAGUCGUGAAAUGUCCGCUGCCAUCCUUGGCCACAAUAGCGUUAGGCGUAAGCCUGCCGUUGUCUUGUAAAGCCAAAAGCUUUCUGUCCGUGGCUGAGAACCAGGUGGGAUACCCAUCAUGGCCAAGUACUUCAAUUUCUCCGAGAAGCCUUCGGGAGUUGGGCUUGAGAUCCAGUGGGACAUUGAAUUUGGUGAGAAUUUGAGAAAGGUCGGACACAAUAGCUAGGGCGUUGCUGGUAAGUUGCGUGGCAUUGAGCAGACCUUUCUGCAUAGCGGCCUGAAACCGUGGUUCGAUGACUCCAUCAAGGCAUGUCUGUUGGUACGAAACAGCAGCACUCAACCAGUUCAUAAUCUCCGUUGAUAGUUGAUCCAAGGUCUGGAGAUCACUCUCACCCACAGACGAGAAUGAUUCCUGAAGCUCGUCAAUGGCAAACUGCAACAAGUCCUUACAGUCACCGAGGGCCAUUUGCGUCCUGGAGUCAUUAGUGGCUUGGAAGAGUUUCUCCGAAAGAUUCAUCGAGCUCUUAAUCUGUUUAAUGGUCACUUGCACAGCCGCCUGGAUGUAAUCCUUGGGCGUAGCACUGCUUCCAUUUUUGGGAACCGGACUGAGAGUUUGCAUACAAGCGUCCUUAUAAUCAGCAGUGGCACAAACGGAGGCAACAGCCUUCAUUGACGACGACAUGUUGGUGUCACCGUCAGUACGAUCGCUUCCAUGGGGGCGCGUUACACUGACAAUGCCGAUGAUCACACCCACCACAAGGAACAGAGAUAUCCCUGAAACUACUGCUUUUCCUAUCAUUUUGGUUCCCUUAUUUAUUCCCCUCUCCGCCAACUGGGGCUUUGCAACCGUACAGCCUCCUCCCCGACCAGGAGACGGAGAGAAAGAUUAAGGGGAAAGAGAGAAUUACCUCCCUUUUCGGGCACUUCUGGUGCGAGGCGACGAGGGCUGCAAGAUGCAUUAUAUUCAGCAUGGAGUUUCCAGGAUUAAAUAACCUAACAUUAUUUAAUUAUUAAUUUAUGUAACGUAUAAAUUAAGUUCUAUUUGAAUCUAACUUGAUAUUUUUAUUAUUUAAUUAAUCUAUUUACUCAAAAUUAAAAUUUAAUAUGAAUUAAAUCAAAAUCAAAUUAACAAGUAUAAUAUUAAGUAGUUCUAUUUAAAUCUUAUUUAUAUGUAAUGUUGUUUAUUAAAAAAACUGCACAUCUAGAUGGAAUUUGAUCCAAACAUACCAUUCUAUUUCAUCAAAACCCUUGAAAGAAAAGGUGUUAGUGUUCACGAAUUAUAUCAAAUUUUGUCAUCCCUGUUAUAUUUUUGGUCCAUUUUCAUUUUCAAUCAAUAGAAUACAUAAUUAUAAUUAUUAUUAAUUUUGAAAUGGAUAAUGAAAUUUGCACCACAUUUUCACAGGUUUUUUUUUUUUUUUCUUUUAAGAUCAAGGGGAACCAAAAUCAUAUUACAUUGCAGAGCAAAGAGGGACAAGAGGGAGGCCUACAGACCAAAAGUCAAGGAUUAAAGAAGAAACCAGUGGGUACUUCACAAUUGAAGGACAGUCUUCCCUCAAAAUGAGGCACCACUUGCUUAAUUCCCUCAAUAAGAUAGAACUCAGCUACACGCAUGAUGAUCCAGUCUGCAUGGCGCUCUCUCUUGAAUGUAUAUCCCCUCUCCUCGAGGCCAACAUGUCGAGCUUUAACGUUUGAGGCUUGGCAGAUAAGGGAUAUUAAUUUGUUUCAGCCAGAGGUUUCCCUGAAUGAAUGAGUUGACCGUGUACUGAAGAGCCUCGUUCCUGGUCUUGAUGAUCCUGUAACCCUUCCAUGUCACCCUGCUGCGGGUGUUUGCACCAGGGCCGCGGUUCCCAUACUCA
rnacentral:lncRNA from 1 species